rnacentral:lncRNA from 1 species
ACCUAUAAAAUAAGGAUGUUAAGCUACAUUUAAAUUAUAAUUUGACUGUUAAUUCGUAAAUAUCCUGUCUCAUUACCCAAAUAGUUAUAAGUACAAUAGCAAAUUGAAGCAGAUGAUGUCUAGUGCUACUUCUAGCUGUAAAACUCUGAUUUAAUUAACCUUCAGAGAAGAGAUUUUAGUCUAUUGAGGAAUUCAAGAAACAGUUCAUGAGACAGACCUGAGUAAAGGGAAAUCAAAUUUGGCUGAAGGAUAGGAGGGUAGU